UUGCUUCGGCAGCACAUAUACUAAAAUUGGAAGAUACAGAGAAGAUUAGCAUGGCCCCUGCGAAAGGAUGACACGCAAAUUUAUUUUAUUGGGUCUAUUUUA